GACGAACGCUGGCGGCGUGCUUAACACAUGCAAGUCGAACGGAAAGGCCCCUUUGGGGGUACUCGAGUGGCGAACGGGUGAGUAACACGUGAGUAACCUGCCCUUGACUUCGGGAUAACUUCAGGAAACUGGGGCUAAUACCGGAUAGGAAUCCUUGCUGCAUGGUGGGGGUUGGAAAGCUUCGGCGGUUUUGGAUGGACUCGCGGCUUAUCAGCUUGUUGGUGGGGUAGUGGCUUACCAAGGCUUUGACGGGUAGCCGGCCUGAGAGGGCGACCGGCCACAUUGGGACUGAGAUACGGCCCAGACUCCUACGGGAGGCAGCAGUGGGGAAUAUUGCACAAUGGGCGGAAGCCUGAUGCAGCAACGCCGCGUGCGGGAUGACGGCCUUCGGGUUGAAAACCGCUUUCAGCAGGGGCGAAGCUUGUGGUGACGGUACCUGCAGAAGAAGCACCGGCUAACUACGUG
rnacentral:rRNA from 1 species